rnacentral:rRNA from 1 species
AUUAUUUGAAAUGAAAUGUUAUUCGUUUAUAAAGAUAUCUAGUUUUUUUAGAAAUAAAUUUAAUUUAAAAGUUUUUAAUUUUAUUAAUUAAUUAUAUUAAUUAAUAAAUUUAUAAAUUUAAAUAUUUUAAGGGAUAAGCUUUAGAAUAAAUUUUUAUAAAUUAAUAAAUGAUAAUUAAAAUUAUAUGCAUAGAAUUAGUAAUUAUUAAAAAUUUUGUUAUAAAUUAUUUUAUAAAAUAUAUUAUUUAUUAUAAUUUUAAAUUUUUAUAAAAACAUUUUUUUUAAUUUUAUUUAAAAAGUAAUAAUGAUAAAAUUAGUAUAUUUAUAUUAUGUAAGUAUAAUUUAUUUUGAUAAGUUUAUAUAAAGAACUCGGCAAAUAUUUUACUCGCCUGUUUAACAAAAACAUGUCUUUUUGUGUUAUUUUUAAAGUCUAACCUGCCCAAUGAAUAAAUUUUAAUGGCCGCAGUAUUUUGACUGUGCAAAGGUAGCAUAAUCAUUAGUCUUUUAAUUGAAGGCUUGAAUGAAUGGUUGGACGAAGUAUAAUCUGUUUCAUUUAAAUUUAUUAUAGAAUUUUAUAUUUUAGUAAAAAAGCUAAAAUAUUUUUAAAAGACGAGAAGACCCUAUAAAUCUUUAUAGUUUAUAUUAUUUUUAUUUUUUAUAUUUAUUUUAUUUAAAUAAUUUGAAUUAUUUUGUUGGGGUGAUAUUAAAAUUUAAUAAACUUUUAAUUUAAUUAUUUCAUUAAUUUAUGUUUUAUUGAUCCAUUAAUAAUGAUUAAAAGAAUAAGUUACUUUAGGGAUAACAGCGUAAUUUUUUUGGAGAGUUCUUAUUGAUAAAAAAGUUUGCGACCUCGAUGUUGGAUUAAGAUAUAAAUUUAGGUGUA